GUUCGAAACCCCCUCCCUAACUCAGCCCGGCGGGACCCCUCUGCUUAACGGGGGGUCCUGCGGCAAAGAAAGUGGACGGGUUGCCACUUCUGUGCCUCCCCAGCCUGGGCUAUAAGGGGCUUUCAGACCAGCUUGGUUCCAGAUGUGUGUGUGGCGGGAGCCCUGUAUACUUUGAGGAGGAGAGCAGCAAGAAGCCUCUAACUCCCAGGCCAGCGUGCAGGAGAGCAGCCGGCGUUACAGUCUACACUGGGCUGCACACUGUCCCAUGAAGUAGCAGUUCUCCCCAUGUCGUAGAGUGGAGCCCUGGCAGAUUAAGAAACUUGCCAAAGAGCCCACAGCUGGCAAGAGGCAGAAUUCUGGCUCCGAAACCCGUGUUUUCCACAGGUUUACCCUUUGUUGAUUUGCAAGGGUUGGGAAACUAGCUUCCAUGGCCAAACCUAGCCCACUGUCUGUUUUGGUGUCCAUGGAUUGGCUGGGACAGCUCUGCUUAAGGAUGUAGUAGCUCUGUAGGUUGGCUAGUUUCCUGCUCUUCCCAACCUGCCCUAUGGACUUCAUAAGAUUUCAGCAUUAGAGAGAAUAUAGAAGGACAUCAACCCUAACUUCAUCCAGUGAGGAUUUCCACACACCAUACACUCUCUGAGAGUUCUCUUGGCUUUGUGUGCACACCUCCAGUGACAGGGAGCUCGCUAUGUCAUGAGGCAGCCUGCUCCCUUGUGGCUAUCACUGACCCAACUAUUAAGCCUUCUUAUACAGACAGUCCCUGACUUACUGUUAGACUUACAACUUUUUGAUUUUACAGUGGUGCAAAAGCAAUAUGCAUUCAAUAGAAACUGUAUUUCAAAUUUUGAAUUAUGAUCUUUUCCCAGGCUAGCAACAUAUGAAGACCAACCUUUUAUUUUUAAAGUAGGCUUUGUUUUAGAUGCUUUUGCCCAACUAUAGGUUAAUGUGAAUGUUCUGAGAAUAUUUAAGGAAGGCUAGGCUAAACUGUGAUCUUUGGGAGCUCAGAUAUGUUAAGUGCAUUUUCAACUUACAAUAUUUUCAACUUACGAUGAGUUUAUUGGGAUGAAGCCCAUUGUAAGUAAAGGAGCAUCUACAUUAAGCUAAAAUCCAUGUCUAUAACUUUCUCAGUAAUAUCAAGUUUGUUCCUUGGAGCCAGAGAAUAAACGGAAUGCUUUUCCA